rnacentral:rRNA from 1 species
GAUGAACGCUGGCGGCGUGCCUAAUACAUGCAAGUCGAGCGAACAGACGAGGAGCUUGCUCCUCUGACGUUAGCGGCGGACGGGUGAGUAACACGUGGAUAACCUACCUAUAAGACUGGGAUAACUUCGGGACACCGGAGCUAAUACCGGAUAAUAUAUUGCACCGCAUGGUUCAAUAGUGAAAGACGGUUUUGCUGUCACUUAUAGAUGGAUCCGCGCCGCAUUAGCUAGUUGGUAAGGUAACGGCUUACCAAGGCAACGAUGCGUAGCCGACCUGAGAGGGUGAUCGGCCACACUGGAACGGAGACACGGUCCAGACUCCUACGGGAGGCAGCAGUAGGGAAUCUUCCGCAAUGGGCGAAAGCCUGACGGAGCAACGCCGCGUGAGUGAUGAAGGUCUUCGGAUCGUAAAACUCUGUUAUUAGGGAAGAACAAAUGUGUAAGUAACUAUGCACGUCUUGACGGUACCUAAUCAGAAAGCCACGGCUAACUACGUG